AAAAAAGUUCUUGAGUUAUUGACAGAUGUCUUUUCACUAUCAAUGGAUUAUGGCAAAAGCUAAUACGAGACGGCUUCUUCAUAUUAAAACUUACAAUUACUUUUAGAUCCAUUAUCAAAAUUCUUCACUGAUCAGAAUCUAGGACAAAAGAAAAACCAUUCUCUAUAAAAAUUAUAAAUAUAAGCUUAAUCAAUUAGAUUCAGACUUAAUGAGCACCGAAAAGCAAAACUUUAAAGGUGAUAGAGAAUGAAAAAAAAAUUACAAGCGCUAGUAGAUUCAGAAGAUGCGAGGAUUAUCGAAUGUUUACCAUUGAGUCGAAAUCAGUUGACAAAUCAAGAAGGAUGGCAUUUUACAAAAAAAAAGUUGAAGAUAUACGGUUAAAUCUGGUUACCAAGUGGAAAGAAAGUAUCCUGAUAUAGUUAGAGCACCACCAAUGUUUGGACAGACUAUUACAUCUCUGAAGUGUUUUUUUUUUGAAAAUUCGGUGUCUCCCCUAGGAUUAAACACUUUUUACAGAAAAUUGUUGCAUGUUGUUUAUCGGUGAAGAAAAAUCUAUAUGCAAGAGGUAUACAAUGCAGCAUGUAGUGUGCCAGAUGUGACACAGAGGAAGAAACCAUUAAUCAUGUGUUCUUCGAGUGCCCACCUGUAAUUCAAACAUGGGCACUUUCAACAGUUCCUACAAACCCGGAUAAAUUCCCUUCGCAUUCAAUUUUUGUAAACAUGGAUUACUUAUUUUGUAGAAUAACACUGCAAGGAGAGAAUCAUCAUUUUGUUUGGAUCUUAUGGUAUAUUUGGAAGGGACGUAAUAAUAUGGUCUUCAACAACAUAAAUACAGAUCCCAUAGAAACUCUUCAAUUGGCAGUAACAGAAACAACAAUUUGGUUUGGGGCACAUGCACAAGUAAUAAGUCUGGUUGUUCAGUUAUCCAAAUUGGAGGAUGAAGACUUACCUCAACGAUUGGACCACUAGAGUUUUAUUGAUGACUCAUGCAUGGAAGGACGAGGAAAUUUACUCGGGUCAAUGAUGGUAUAGAACUAUGGAAGGUUUUGAAUGACCCAUGGGGGGAAGAAAUACGAGGCCCAAUAUUUCAUCCUUACAUGCAGAGAUCGAAGCCUUCAUUUGGGCUAUGGAAAACAUAAAGAAUUUAAAACAAUUUCAUGUAACUUUUGCAACAGAUUAUUUUUAAUUGGUAAAGAUGAUUUUAAAACCGUAAGAUUGACAUGCAUUUGCAUCAUACUUGGAAGAUAUUCGCAUCCUCAGGAGAAGCUUCAGUCACUUAGAGAUUAUUCAUGUAUCAAGAGUGAAUAACGUAAGUGCAGACAAUCUAAUAUGCAGUGUUAGUAAAUAAUUGUCGUACGUUGUUCACAUAGACACAAAGUUAUCAGUUUAGCUGACAUAGUUUUAAUUGAGUCAAUUUAAGUUGAUGACAAAAAAAAAACUUUACCACAAAAUUUGAUCAAAAUCACAAUAUUAUAUAUAUUUCUCCAAACUCAUCAAAUCAAAUUCAAAAAUAUAUUGUAAAGAAUAUAUCACGUAAUAAAAUGAAAAUUUCUUAUUAAGAUGAGAUUUGUAGUGUAUCAACAUGAUUGUGGGAACUGAAAUUUACACUGUCGAUUUCCGUGAUUGGAGGAAAGUCAAGAAGCCCUAACUUUUUCUGAGGUCCUGGAUUCUCUGCGAGAGCCAACGUCAAGUGACCAAAUAAAUGUGGAAAACAUGAAAAAACAACAAAACAAAUUUAUGGAGAGAGUAGAUCUUUAUUUUGAAUCUGCGUAAGAGCGUUGCGAUUAUUACAAAAGAUUAUAAAAUCUUCGGACGCAAGAGCUGUCAUCGAGUCCCCUAGUUUUAGCUACCAAAAACCUUAAACCUAGUUGAGUCGCAGCUCAAUAACAACAAACAAAAAUGAUACAAAAAAGAUUUUGUUGAUUUUCGGACUGAACCUUAUGAAAGGCUACCUACGUACACGUUUCGAUGAUCAAGUUGAACAUAUUUCAAUUAAAAGAGUGGAACAAGAGAUCGAACUGCAUGUGUGAGUUCAUCUAGUAAUUGAGCGAGGCAUAGGAACUGAGCAUGUCGAGUAUAAUGCUUAAAAUUCUUAAGUGCAGAGAGUUCUAAAAGUAUAAAAAGAGUCAUUUUUGUGCUCCUUGCUUCGGCUCUCCUUAUAUUCCUUCAAGGUUGGGCAUCCUUUCCUUUUCUGCCCUUGGGCCCAAGUUUAUCUAUUCGCGGAAAUAUCUCCUUUUUUCCAAUCUUCGUAAUUAUCCUUCGAAACUUGACAUUUAUCUUCUCUUGUGAAUAUUAGAUAGACCAUCAUAGUAGUUUUGGGCUCAUUCUCGUCCAAAAUCGUAAGUGGGCUUUUGCCGUGUUAUAGAACCUUUCCAAGCCGUGCUAUCGACUCAUGUGUUCUUACGAUUUCUUUGAGAAAUCAUAUUUGGUACGAUGUCGGUUUUGCGAACCAAUUGUGUAGUCAAGAUAAUUAUGGUGUUAAGUUAACCGUUAUCGUUUUACACGAUUGAUUUAAAUUCAUACGAGAAAACAAGUCUUUGUUAAAUUUAUCGUAAAGUUUAAACGGUAAUUCCAAUCGAGACGAAACAAGAGACAUGUUAGUCGAGGCUCGAAGGGGGAGAGCUGGUCGCCUUAUGGCGAGUUGGACGUGGUCCGUCCUACUCGCUUUAUGGUGAUUUGGACGAGGUUUGUCGAUCUUGAUCCUACUAGGCCGAUGGCGAGUUGGACGUGGUCGACCCUACUCGCCAUAUGGCGAGUUGGACGAGGGCGAGGUCGUUUUGAUAUUUUGGAGAUUUCUAUUUAGAACUUUUCUUAUUUCGAGAAAGUUUCUUAAGAGUAGCAAUCUUAGACGUUGAUUCCAUAAAUCGCCAAGAGCUUCGUAUACUUUUGGAACCAUUUCGUUUGGUUUACGAAUUUUUUUUGUAAACGUUUUUCGAAAGUUGAUUUGCGGAAGAUUAUCUCAUAGAUUAUGCUAUGAUGUUUUUCCGCGGAAACUUUCUGGAUUUUGUUUGAUGGAAGACUGUUUCAUAGAACUCAUUUAUCGUAAAAACCUUCUCCGAGAACGUUUUUCCGAUCAUGUUUGGGUAGAAAUAUACGAAUUUUGUUCUUGUAUCCUUAUGCAAAUUAGUUUUGCUUAUGCCGUAUAAUUUCACCGACAUUUUCAGAUCUUAUUUUCUUAAGGCAUGAGUUCUCUGAGGGUUUGAGCAGUUGAUUUUGCCAUGACCGAUUUUGACCCCAACAAUAAUAUAUGUAAAAAAGAAAAAUAUUGAUUCUAAAACAAUUGGAAAAAAUAACUCAAAGAAAGAAAAAAUAGAUAUAUUUAGAUGUUAAAUCUGUAAAAAAGAAAAAAUAUUUAGAGUGAUUGGUUUAGGAAUGAAAUUAUUACUUCAGUGCAUGCAGUUCAGUGUAUAACAAUAAAUCUGAGUGUAUACUAUCGCUCUUAGAUAUCAACUAUAAAUAAAAACAACUAAUUUGAGGCUUUUUAGAAGUGCCAUAUAGGACAAAAUAUUCCCCACCAAUCAAGCUGCCAGGUUAUCGCGGAUGUUUAACUGACGGCCCCGAACCAUUGAAACCCGUCAAGAUAACAGCCCGUUUGCAAAGGUUUAUGUUUGUCUUUCCAACUCUGGCUUAACAGCAAAAAUAUUCAUUCAAUAAAGCUCUAUAGUCUCUUGACUCUAACCUCAUCCGCUUAUAGACCUUCAACCUUCCUCCUCUCAGAAAUCACCGGUUACGAUAUGGAGUCGUUUAUCACAGCCAAUAUCCCCGUUUAACACUUACUGCUGAUGGAACCCAAAGACUACCCAAAGACUUAAGAAACAAGUUACGUCAAUUUUCUCUUUUCAUAUCCUCAUUCAAAUACAUCGAUAGCUAUAUAUACAUGAAAGACCAAGUAACUACACUACUAUCCCAUUAGCAUUACACGUUAAAUAAUUCCACCAAUAUAGGAGCAACACUAAUACACGUAUUUCUAAACCCUAAUAACUGUUUACUCUCAUCAAACUGCUACCAUUAAUUUCUUCCCCAAAGCAUAAAACCGUCAACUAUUUGGCUUCCCCUCACCAAUUCUAUAAAAUCCGUCAUAGUUAGAAAGCAUGAUCUCUCUAACAACAAGCUUCUGGUCAGAAAAGCUGAGGAAAUUCGCCGCCUUUCUGGCGCUCAGUUCAAUCAUCCAUCAUCGGCGUUGUAAGACAUCGCCUGUAUUUGAUUUUAUAUAUACUCUGUUUCAUCUAUUUUAUCAUUGGAUUUGACAGGGUGAGAUCUGUAAAGAUGUGAUCUAUCUGAAAAUUGCAGCCUAUCAAAAAUUCACAAUUGAAUUAGCUUCAGUUGUGUGUAUAUCUAAAGUAUCUUACUUUUACUUACACUCGUGUCUAUUCAAUGUUAUAGAUUAUUUUCAAAAUACAUGCAGCGAUUAAGUUGAGUCGUAUGUCCGAAAACGCAUUCACGAGAUCAUUCAAUAGCCUGCAAAACAUUGUUGGAGUCAAGAUUAAGCUUAAUAUAAAAGCACUAGCAGUUCAGAGUGGCUGAGGAAGAGUAAUCAAAUCCGAGCAAAACAUGUUACCUUUUUAUAUAUUUGCAGGUUAUCAGUUUGACAUGUAUUUGACUGGACAAUCUUGAAGUAUCCACAGUUUGGCUCUAGCUCCACUCUAGCUCAAAACCAAGAUCGAGUCUUACACGUUAACCAGCUUUGUAUCCUCCAGCGCCAUCUGGUGAGAGACCAGAGAAACCUUCGGGUGAGCUUUUAACUGUACUACCCGCAUAUGAAAUAAUUGUUAGCAUCUUAUCUCUAGAGCUAUUUGUAUACCUGUCACAUGUGUUGCUAAGUUCCUUCUUGAGGUUUUUUAAUAAGACAUUCAAGAUUUCUUUUCAUUAAGUGCCUUUUUCCAGUUGAUGUUCAUUUAAUAAGUCUAUGGUCUAUCUCAGUCACUUUAGACACCAAAACUUUUCUAUUUCUGUUAAAUUUCUAAUAGUAAACUUCAUGUAAUUUCUAUGAAAUCAGCAACAACACUAACAGUUUCAUGUGUCAUGCAUGAGUUGAGUUUGCAUGUGUUAAAUAUUCGUUAAAAAGAUUUGGUUAGUUUGGGGCACAUCUGUUUUUUUUAAAAGAUUCGGUUACAGGGAAUGCAAGACAAUCAUCAUUUUGUAACUGCUGUUAUUCUCAUAGAUUAAUUAUAUGGCCAGAUUAUUCCACUGCAUCUACUGAUAGUUACAAUUUUAAAAUGCCUAACUAUGGCAUUGUCAUUCUACCUCACACACACAAAAAAAUUCUAAAGCAAUUGUGCUACAAAAAAUCUACAAAAUUGUUUGAAUAAAUAUGUUUCUCACAUGUUUGGGUAUGAUUCUUACAGAACCUGCAAACCUGUAGCUUUGGCUAAGCUGAGGAAGAAGCAAGAGAGGAAGAAGGAAAUGAAUUAAAUGAUGAAUCGCAAACUUACUGGCUGUUCCAACAGAUAAUUGUGAAGGUGAUGUGUCAAGCUCUGGUCUGGUAGAGACUAAAGAAAGGGUAUUAUAAGCAAAAAGGCUGAGUGAGGAAAGUAAUUGAUAAUUGUAUACUUGAGUCAACAAUAAAAAUUUAUAUAUUCUAUACAUUUGAUUUUUUUUGGCACAAAAAAAUUCAAAAAUUUGUAAGUUUUUAAUUUUUUUUUCGACCAAAAUAUUUGUGAAUAAUAUGAAGAUUUUGGUGACUUUGAUGACGGGGAGAAAUAAAAAUUGAAUAUUUUGUCAAACUAUAGUCGUAACAAGCGUCAGCUUAUAAUUAUAUAAUGAUAAUAUGAUAUAGAACGUAAAACCAUAUGUUGUUGAGUCUGAAGAAGGAUAAAUGAGAUUAUCUAAAUUUCUUCAUAAUAUGAAGAGUAUGGAAAAUGCGUAACAAUAGUCUUCCAGCAGAAAAGAGAUCACAUUGUGAAAGAUCAUCCUCAAUUAGAGCUACAAACACAUCACUAAAACCAAAAGCAGAGGCAUUGCGAAUGGCAGUCAAGCAAAUGAGGAUGCUAAAUUUUAAGAAAGUUGCUUUCAUCAGUGAUUGCAAACCAAUCAUAUGUGUUGCAACAAUAUACCGGUCAAACAACCAUCCCAAAGGUCCGUACCACAGAGUCUCCAUGUUACAAGAUAUAAUGGAAAGCUCCAAAUCUUAUGAUUUCUCCUUUUGUUAUGUCCCUACAAAUAGGCUGACUUUGGUGGAUGAAUUAGCCAAGAAUUCUAGAUGUAACAAUCAAAGCUAUGUAAUACGUUGGUUCUAAAUUUAUAUUAAAAUAUGUUGAAAAAAAAUAUAGCAAAUAAACUUAUUAAAUUAAAUACAAUGUAAUUAUUUGUUUCACAAUUAUAUGUACAUUGUUCGCCUCAACACCAAGAACACACUUCUACUUUAAAAACACCGUUGACAUUAUACAUAAAUUUGACAAGAGGAACAUAAUAAACUCUCAAUAUGCACUCAACCAACUUAGUAUCCUAUGUGAAAUACAACUCUCAACAACAUAUAACAAUUACAACAUAUACAAUUUGUAUUAAGUGAGACUGAUUCUAUAAAUUUGUUAUUUAAACAAUAUCAUAAAUUCUAAAAUUUUAUAAACCAUAAUCCCCUCGUAGCGCGGACCACGAUCUAGUAGCUAUAAAACUAAUUUGUGAUUUUGAAAAAUACAUGGUAGAUACCUGAGAUACUUAAAUACAUUAGAUACUUAAAAUACACGAAAGCUGGUGUAUAUAUAUAUAUAUAUUUUCUUUUCUUAUAGUACAAUCUUCACCAUUUCCCUACUUAGUGAAUUAUUUAUCUUAUCAAAUUCAAAUACUACUGGUAAUAUUGCGGAUCUAAUUGGUUGAAACUGUGAUACUAACUUUGUUGCAGAAUUUUGGUGUAAUUUUUAAUAAGAAUCUAGCUGAUAAUAUUAUGUGUUAUAAGAUUCACAGAUUUGUUAAGUACUUUUUUUAUGUCAUAGGAAAAUAAGUGUCUACAGCCAAAAAAAAAAUAUUUAUAAUUGUAGUCGGCAACUAGAAAAUUUAUCCAGAGUGGCGGCGACGCAACCGCCUUAGCGAUCAAAUAACACAGAGGAACGGAGAUAAAAAAAAAAAGCUUUACGCUUUAUCUUACACGCAGCGGCCAUGAGUAGGACAGAAGAAACAUCGGCUGGCUGCAUUGUCGGAAUCUGCUCU